UCUCGGCCUCCUGCCUCCUGCAGAGCUGC
rnacentral:sRNA from 1 species